rnacentral:rRNA from 1 species
AUUGAACGCUGGCGGCAUGCCUUACACAUGCAAGUCGAACGGUAACAGGUCUUCGGAUGCUGACGAGUGGCGAACGGGUGAGUAAUACAUCGGAACGUGCCCGAGAGUGGGGGAUAACGAGGCGAAAGCUUUGCUAAUACCGCAUACGAUCUCAGGAUGAAAGCAGGGGACCGCAAGGCCUUGCGCUCACGGAGCGGCCGGUGGCAGAUUAGGUAGUUGGUGGGAUAAAAGCUUACCAAGCCGACGAUCUGUAGCUGGUCUGAGAGGACGACCAGCCACACUGGGACGGAGACACGGCCCAGACUCCUACGGGAGGCAGCAGUGGGGAAUUUUGGACAAUGGGCGCAAGCCUGAUCCAGCCAUGCCGCGUGCGGGAUGAAGGCCUUCGGGUUGUAAACUGCUUUUGUACGGAACGGAAAGACUCUGGUUAAUACCUGGGGUCCAUGACGGUACCGUAAGAAUAAGCACCGGCUAACUACGUGCCAGCCGCCGCCGUAAAAC